GGCUCCGUAGUUCAACUGGAUAGAAUAUCAGAUUUCGGCUCUGAGGGUUGGGGGUUCGAAUCCCUUCGGAGUCACAA
rnacentral:tRNA from 1 species